UCAACGCUGGCGGCGUGCCUCAGACAUGCAAGUCGAACGAUUAAAGCUCUCUUCGGAGAGUGCAUAGAGUGGCGCACGGGUGAGUAACACGUAAGUAAUCUACCUUCGAGUGGGGAAUAACAGUCGGAAACGACUGCUAAUACCGCAUAAUGCAGCGGCAUCGCAAGAUGACAGUUGUUAAAGGAGCAAUCCGCUUGAAGAGGAGCUUGCGGCAGAUUAGCUAGUUGGUAAGGUAAUGGCUUACCAAGGCAACGAUCUGUAACCGACCUGAGAGGGUGGUCGGUCACACUGACACUGAAUAACGGGUCAGACUCCUACGGGAGGCAGCAGUCGGGAAUCUUGCGCAAUGGGCGAAAGCCUGACGCAGCGACGCCGCGUGAGGGAUGACGGCCUCGGUUGUAA
rnacentral:rRNA from 1 species